UCCGUUGGUCAUCCAGAGUGACAACGGACCCCCUUUCCAAAGCGAGAAAUUCGUGAAAACCUGGGAGAAUAGGGGAAUUAGAAUCCGGAAAUCCAUCCCUUUAAGUCCUCAAUCUAAUGGUGCCAUUGAGCGCCAGAAUCAGGGCAUUAAAAAGGUCUUUGCUGCUUCGAAACUGGACAAUACCAAUUGGAGAACCGCUCUUGAAAAUUAUGUUCACGCUCACAAUAAAAUACGGCCCCUGUCACGUCUCGGAGUGACACCCUUUGAACUCCUAGUAGGGUGGAAAUGGAGAGGAUUUUUUCCAUGUCUCUGGGAAUCCAAAUGGUGCGACGAUACUGACCGUGAAGAGAUUAAGGAAAAAGAUGCAUUUGCAAAGCUAGAGAGCAAGAGGUACACCGAUAUGCUACGAGGUGCUAAGGAUUCUGAUUUAGCUGUAGGAGACAAGGUUGUAUUAACCCAGCAGAAGCGAUGCAAAUCAGAUCCCACUUUCGGUUCGGAAAAAUUUACAAUUUUGGCCAGAGACGGAGCAAAAAUUGUCGUCCGCAGUGAAAGAGGGGUACACUAUUCUCGUAAUGUCGGGGAUGCCAAAAAAGCUACUGAAAGUUUGGUGGAGGGUAUAUCGAUACCGAUUUCAUCAGACAUGGCCGAACAGAUUUCAGGAGACCCAAUAAAUGACAACAUUCAGAAGAAUUUAUCAUCGAAUGCAGAAUCUGGAACGGAAAACGAGGUCAGGGAAUACCAUGGGGAACACCAACUGGAUUUAGCUUCGAGGACAAGAGCCGGACGUGACACGAGAAUGCCCAGCAAAUAUAGAGACAUGGUGCUAUAUCAUGUAUAUGAAUAAUUUCGGACAAUAACAACAACCAAAACACAUUAAAUAUAAAUCCAAGAAAUAUUCUAGAAAGGAACAUUGUUUUAACUUAUUUAAUCAUACCUAGUAAAUCUGUUCGUCCAUCUUUCCGUAAGAUUGCCAACCUGUAAGAUUGACCGCGACACGACUUGCUGAUCCAUGUUCCAACAUAAUAUUCCGAUGAGGAUUUUUUCUUUGCAACUCCGAGCACUGCUCACUCGAACCGAACGACAUCCUCCUCUAGGUACUGAUCAACUCCACUUGUUUGGCAACGCCUACGGUUUCAUGCACUCCUUGAAUGUCCCGUUCUCAGUAUUGAUCCCGAAUUCGCUUUAUCCGCAUUUUAGGAGUGUGAAUACACCUAUUCGUCGAAGUUGAGCACGGGCAGCCUUUAGUGACGCCAGGCGAGGCGAUGACGAUGAUUUCUUGAUGCGGUAUGGCUUUCUUUAGCAAAUCCGUUGAAAUAACUAGCCGCUGAUAACGUGCACGCCAACGGGCAUAACGCCAAAAUAGGAAAAAUGAGAAUAACCGGAAUAAACUUGAUGGUAAUCGAACAAAACGAAUAGCAAAAACGCGGCAACGGCAAAAAAUAACGAAUGGCAAAAUAACACAGUUGGGAACAAGUACAGCAACGACGGCAGCUUUUCGUAAUCAUCGAAUCAAUCAUCUGUCAUCAUUAAAAAUCAAGAAGUCGAGCGGAACAGCAGCAGUGAAACAACGAAACAAAUGUCAUAACAAUUUCUCGCGUAACAUUGUAAAGGGACCAAUAUCGAGAGGAAAGAGAAAUCAUUUUUUGAUACAAAAAAGGGUCAUUUUUUAACUUCUCGAAUUUUCUUCUUUUAAAUGAUGGCCAAGGUUGCCAGUUGUGCAGUUUACCCAUUUUUCAGAAAAUAUUAUUUAAUGGAAUUUGAGAAAAAAAAAAAGAUUCGGCGAAUGUGAGCACGCAAAAAAAAAAAAAAAAGAAAAAAAAACGAAGUGAUUAUCGAAAUGCAUCGAUGGUCCAUGUUUCAAUGCAAACUGCAAUAAUUAAUAUUAUAUAUAAGCCAUUUUUAUAAAGCUCAAAUGAAAGGAGACCUAACACAAAUAUUUACAUUUUACAAGGAACAUUUGUGAAAAUGGAAUGAAAUGAUGAUGAUGAUGACGAAAUGAUGAUGGUUAGUGACAGAAUUUUUUUUACAGAGUCAGAUUUUUCUUACACCCAAGGGGCCGUACACUUAUUACGUAAGCAAUUUUUCUGGGUUUUUCGACCCCCCCUCCCCCCAUGUAAGAUUUUUUCCCAUACAAAAGAUUUUUUAUUUAUAUGGUGCGUAAGAUAUUGACAGACCCCCCCUCCCCCCAUAAAUGCUUACGUAA